CUACGGGUUGCUCCAGUGGGGGAUAUUGCGCAAUGGGGGAAACCCUGACGCAGCAACGCCGCGUGAAGGAUGAAGGUUUUCGGAUCGUAAACUUCUUUGAUCGGGGACGAAUAAUGACGGUACCCGAAGAACAAGCCACGGCUAACUACGUGCCAGCAGCCGCGGUAAUACGUAGGUGGCAAGCGUUGUCCGGAUUUACUGGGUGUAAAGGGCGUGUAGGCGGGACGGAAAGUCUGAUGUGAAAUCCCGCGGCUCAACCGCGGAACUGCAUCGGAAACUUCCGUUCUUGAGUAUCGGAGAGGAAAGCGGAAUUCCUAGUGUAGCGGUGAAAUGCGUAGAUAUUAGGAGGAACACCAGUGGCGAAGGCGGCUUUCUGGACGAAAACUGACGCUGAGGCGCGAAAGCGUGGGGAGCAAACAGGAUUAGAUACCCGCGUAGUC
rnacentral:rRNA from 1 species